CCUUAAUCUUGAUUGAUAUUCCUAAAGGCCUUGAAACCUUAAAUCUCUCAUUACUUAAAACCUGAAAGAUUGAUUUAAAGAAUUUACAUAUUGAAUGAAAGUUAGGUUGCUAGAUUAUUUGAUUGAUGUGGAUCGUGUGGCAUUAUGUUUUUGUUAUCAAUCAUACUGAAUGGCCGUGAGGCAUAAUGCAUUGGUUCAUACAUGCAG
rnacentral:lncRNA from 1 species